UGUUGCUCAAGACUGUACUGCUGGGGGUUUUUAUCAACCUCCUGGCAACCUACAUUUGGUUUCUCUUCCUAACUGUUGCUUUUGUGUAGAAUUCUUAUUGACAUUUGUUUUCUUCACUUGGCCUGGUUAGAUUUGGUCAAAUAAAAUAUAGAGGAAAGAAACUGUCUUUGUCCCAGGGACCUUUAGUUUUCCUGAAAUAAUCCUGUCUAAACUCAUGUCCAGCCUUCCUUUCUCCUCCCUGUGUAUAAUCCCUAAAACAGUGUUUCAAGCAAAAGCAAAAUUUGUCUGUCUUGGCUCAGUGCUUCUCUUUAUUUCCUUCUUAUACCUUUAGAGUUAAGGAAGAGUUUGUUAAUCAGAAGGUUAAAAUAGAAA
rnacentral:lncRNA from 1 species